GUUUAAAACACUUGAGCACACGUGGGCUGGGUGCCGAACUCAAGGGUUCCGGACCGGGAGCUGUGGGCGCGCUAGGCUGUUGCCAGGAGCACAGCACUGUAAGCUUCAAGAGGGUAGGAGCCAUGUGGCCAUCCCUCCAGAAUGCUCCCUUGCCAGAUAGAAAGUUGGUUGUAACCUGGCCAAGCUCCUGCUAUGUCCGAAGAAUAAGGCAGACUGGAGAGGAAAAAUGACCAUAAGAUCUAUAUAAUCAAGUAUAUCAGCAAGACAUACGGGCUGCUCUCCAAGUUCUCCCAGCAUUCAUGCAUCCAGCCGGGAUAUAGCAACAGCUUCAUUCCCACCAAAACAGCAACAGAAGAUACCAAACUCUGUUCCUUCAAUAGGGGAAGUUUGGAAAUUCACAGACUUACUGCCUAUUUUAGCCUCCAAUUUAUCAUUUCCAAAUCAAAGAGAGCUUCAAUUGUAUGCACCACCAAGAAAGGACAAAGAGUUGCCAAUUUAACUACACAACAUGUUAUCAUUUAGGAUUUUCGUGUUUUUGCUUAUUAAAGACUACUUUUAGACUUGGACAUAGAUUUUUUUAUACUAAUAUGCAUAUAUAAAAAAGAAAUAUAAGCAAAUUAAAUUGAGUAAAGUAUUUCUAAAAAUUUUGUACACUAAAUAUAAUUCUGAAUCCCUUUUCAUACAGAACAUCAAUAUGUGUUUUUGCACACAAUACUAAUGACAGGGCAGCAUUUCUUAAAAGAAUUUCCUAGUCUUGUCUCUGGAAUUUGCUUCCUAGCCACUAACACUCAUUCUGCAAGUUUGAUGCUGGGGCCAUCCUGUUUGAUGCCAUUACAAGCUCUGCAAUUUUUUUUUUUUUUAUGUUUAUUCAUUUCCUUUGAGAAAGAGAGAGCAAGCAGAAGCGGGGGAGAGAGAGAGGAAGAGGGA